rnacentral:rRNA from 1 species
CCUACGGGAGGCAGCAGUGGGGAAUAUUGCACAAUGGGGGAAACCCUGAUGCAGCAACGCCGCGUGGGUGAAGAAGUAUUUCGGUAUGUAAAGCCCUAUCAGCAGGGAAGAGAAGGACGGUACCUGACUACGAAGCCCCGGCUAACUACGAGCCAGAAGCCGCGGGAAUACGUAGGGGGCAAGCGUUAUCCGGAUUUAAUGGGUGGAAAGGGAGCGUAGACGGGUGUGCAGGUCUGAAGUGAAAGCCCGCGGCUUAACUGCGGAACGGCUUUGGAAACUGUGUACCUUGAGUGCUGGAGAGGUAAGCGGAAUUCCUGGUGUAGCGGUGAAAUGCGUAGAGAUCAGGCGGAACACCGGCGGCGAAGGCGGCUUACUGGACAGUAACUGACGUUGAGGCUCGAAAGCGUGGGGAGCAAACAGGAUUAGAUACCCCAGUAGUC